rnacentral:rRNA from 1 species
UACGGGGGGGGUUAGUGUUAUUCACCAUUACUGGGUGUAAAGCGCGCGUAGACGGUUUUUUAAGUCUUAAUUAAAAUAAUCCAAGCUUAACUUGGAAAUUAAUUUUGAUACUAUUAAACUAGAGGUUAGGGGGAGGAAGCUAUACUUCUUAGGAAAAGGUGAAAUUUGUCCGAACUAGGGAGGAUAACCAUCAGGCGAAAGCGGCUUCCUACUAUAAUACUAACGUUUUGGCGCAAAAGCCUGGGUAUCAAACGGG